rnacentral:lncRNA from 1 species
UAUAGACUUGUGAAGUAUGGUCCCUUGAAUGAAUCACGUACGAGUGCCCUAAUAACCAUGUACAUAAUAUAUAGCCACAUUUUUUUUCUUGACAAUGACAAAUCAGUUGCAAUGUCCACAGGGAAAAUAAAAAAUUAAACAAUGAAAAAAGAACGUGUUUAAAAUAAAAAUAAAAUAUGCUUAAGUACUUGUUUGUGAUAAUAGAUACUAAAUUAAACUAUAUAUGCUCCCACAAAUUUCCCAAAAUAUGCCAACCAUAUAACAUGUAUUGUAAAGAAGAC